CACCAGAUAGAGCAGUAGUGAGAAAGGCAUCUGGGAGACAGCCUUCGCAGAGGCUUUUAUCUCUCUUACAAGGGACCUUGAGAGAGGCUACUAAGAGAGGAGACGAUGUUCAGAGAUUUCAUCUUUCAUUUCCAGUUAUACAACGAAUCGAUCCUCAAGCACUCCAGAGAUCUCAGAUCAGAAAACUAUGGGCCUCCAGAAGAAUGAGACCAGCAUGUGCCAAGCCCUGUGUCCUACCUGCAGCACCAAGAAGAAAAUGUGGGCAGCAAAGUUUAUUUCUUCUUUCAGAGAGAGGGGAGAUAGAGAGAGAGAGGGAGAGGGAGAGGGAGAGGGGGAGGGGGAAAGGGAGGGGGAGGGGGAGGGAGAUAUCCUGGGACAAUAGAUCCCUGUGCUCUUUUCCUGCUCAUUUCUGGGAAAGCAAGGUCUGUUGAGGUUGACUGUAAGACAACUCUGGAAGGGGCAUUUUGUUUGGCAAGCACAAUGCACUUUUAUAUUUUUUCAUUAGUUGCCAACCUGCAAAAAUCUGGUGGUUUCACAUUGAAAGCUAGACUCCUGGCUCCCUCCAGCAGAGCUGGCUAGCCUGAGGUUAGGCUUCUGCUGUCCUCCCCAGUUAACUCCGUCAGACCAUGGCUUCUCUCAGCACACCCGAGGCAUGGACAGGUGUGUGUCUAUCCAUUUUCUUACUCAGAAAGCUAUGAGAACAGAUUCACCCUUGGGAUUGGGUCACAUGAGUUAAAAUCUGAGCCUGGGAAGUAACCUGGGCUCUAGAAGAGACUUAAAGGUCCAAGGUCUGAAGCCAGGGCUGAGAGUGGCUAGAACAGGAAAAAUGGUGAUAAUGUAUUUUAUUCUAGAUGCUCCUUGACCGUCUUAUAAUCUCUCUGUUAGAUCCAAUAAAAAUCUGAUUUUCUUCAUUCACUUCUCCUUAGCUCCACUCCCUUUUGGCAGCAACUAACUUUCUUCUUUUUCCCUAAACAGCCUUGGUGUCUUGGCUCUCUGGUCCACUGUCUGGGUUGGCCCAUUCUCAACAUUCCACUAGUUUUUCCACAUUUUCGUUUUAGAUCAGGGAGCCCUGGGAAUAACACCCUUUUGUUUUACUAUCAAAUCAAUAGAAAGUCUUGUUUCUGGUUGUAUGUCCUACUUAUUAGGACAUACAUCAGAACCACAUUGGUCGCCUUUCACAGCACUUUAACUUGGUCAUAAUGUGAUUUUGAUUGACAAAGAACUGAAAAACCAUCCCAUGGGGUAAAAAAAUAAUCAAGAUUUGGUGCGCAUCAAAUACCAAGCCUCAUUUUGGAGCCAGGACCAUAAUCCCCUAAGUAAAAUGAAAGGGCCCACACAUUUAUCCAUAAUAGUUUUAGUUUCCUACCUAUAGACUAAUUUAUAAUCACUCGAGCUCCUAAACUACAUUUGGUUGGGGUUGGUUAAAGCCUCCCUCUCCCACCCGGUUCUGUUUGCUUUCCCCUCCUGUCUUGCUUGCUCUUAUUAAACUAACCCUUAAAGGUCAGGCUGAUCAAAGCUGCUAAGCUGGGAAACAAAACUGUAAGCAGCGCAAACCUUGGUGUGUAUCUUAAGAAGAGUCGGAGCUCACUUUGCCGUGUCCUGGUUGUGCCUGAGGAGAUGUAAACCUGGAAAGUUCCACCACUUGUAUGCGGCCAUCAUCCCCAAGCCGCACUACUCUUGGAUCACUGUGGUACCUUCGAGGGAAGGCCGUGUCUGCCAUGUCAUCCGGCCCAGGAUGCUGCAAGCCAGACUCAAGAAAUCACAGGGGAGCAAGUCUUGCGCGGAGACCAUAGGAGACUGGACCAGACAAGAGCGCAGGUUUUUGAGCCAGAUGAACGUCAAAGGGUGCCCCAGUCUCUCGGGAGACACGGCAUUUGGUAGCCCCUGGACUGUGUUGAACACUUCUUGGGACCCCUCUGGGAAGGCCAAAUUCUUCAAGAGAUACACAGACCGCAGAGAGGGCGUGCGCGGGGGUGGGGUGGGGGAUGGGGUGUUGCAUUUUGCCAGGUCUGUAAAGUUGGAAAUAUUGCUCAAAAUUAGAUAAAAAACUAAUCAGAACACCAAGGUUUACUCUAGUAAGCAGUGGCAACAUCAAAUAAAACCCACCAC